GUACAGGAUUACCCAUAAGCUGCUCAGCUGAAGGGGAUUGUUUGUGUACACGGCACGGAAACAGAAGGAGGCAGGGGCCUCUUCCCUGGCCGGGGCGGGCCUGGCCUGCACUGGCUGCCCCUUUGAGGAGCUGGAGCAGCCUAGCUCUGGCUUCCCCGCAGGUGAGGACACACUGAGAAGAUGGCUGUCCACAAGCCAGGAAGAGAGCUCCCACCAGGAGCCUAAUCCGCCAGCACCUUGAUCUUGGAUUUCCAGCCUCCAGAGCUGAGAAGCUGGUACCCUUCACCAUGGAGCUGCACCCACACCUGGCCCAGGACUUGGAGAAGCUGAAAGAAGGAGAUCCCGUGGGAGUCAGAGAGGCCGCAAAUCCGGCUACCACCUGGCAUGGAGGUGACCUGGCAUACAGUGGCGGUGGGCGCCUCAGUGAGCCCCCUAAGCACAGUGGUGUGGUGGCUGCUCCUUCUCUGCCCUCCAGCUCUUGUGUACAUUUCUCCCUUGGCCUACCCUGGCCGUGUUUCCUCCCCACAAGCUUCUCUCUCCUCCUGUGAAAGUGAGUCCAAUAGAUGCAGGAUGGAUGAACGUGCUUGCAAGAUACCCUUCAGGUGUCAGCUCGCACACUCAUGGAGUGCUCCCUUCCUGGGCUGUGCCCCAUCGCACCCCACGCUGCCCUUUUCAUGCUCACCUCACCUCAUCGCUUGUGCUCCAGCUUCUCUUCCCUGUGAGAUGGGAAGCAUUCCUGGGAGGACAGGGCCCCAUCCGUCCGGUUUAUGGCUGUACCUCCAGGAUCCAGCCCCACAUCUGGCAUAGAGUCUUCACUCACAAAAUAGUUGGACAAAUGAAGAGGUGAACCGAUGGCUCUGCUUUUCUGGAAACCGUCAUAAGGCUGCUUGGGUGGUGACUUGUACUUUCAGGUUCUCUUCAUGAGGAGUGGCUUUGUGGAUGGGCCAGAGUGGAUUAGACCUGCCCGCCAUUUUCAGUGGUGACUCUGUCCUGGGAUGGACCUGUGUAACUAGGGCAGGAUUCAAUUCCAAGUUACAGAAAAUCCAUUGUAACUUUGGCUUAAAUGAGAUGAGUCUCUUUCUCUCUCACAUUAACCGAGUCCAGAGAGAAGUGAUCCAUGGAACUCUCAGGAGCCCAGGCGCCCCCAGCUCACCACUCUGCCCCCCCCUCUUCCUCAUGGUCCCAGAAUGCAGCACCCACGUUUCAGGCAAUGGGAAGGACGAGAGGCAGAAGGAGAGACAAAAAGGGCAUCCAUGGGACACUUCUACUUACAUCCCAUUGCCUAGAACUAACUCACAUGGCCACAUCUGCUGCAAAGGAGGUUGGGAGGUCAUCUUUAUUCUGGGUAGCCAUGUGCCCGGGUGAAAAUACUACUGCUAUAGAAGGAUAAAGAAUGGUUUUGUCAGGCCACCAGCAGUCUUGGCCACAGUCGUGUUUUGGGGAGGGUCGCACGUCUUCCUUCUCAUUCCCUCUUUCAUAUGCAGGAUGGGAAGGGGGUAGGGUUCCCAGACCCCACGUUCUCAUGCCAGGACGUUUGAGGCUGAUCACCUUUAGCUGUUCCUAGAAGCGGGGCAAGCUGGUAGCAGUGUGUCGCUAUUGGAUUACUUGUGUUGAACAGCACGUGGUUGUCCACCAUUCAAAUAUAAAAUUGUAGGGAGUAGACUGCACUUAAAUGCAAUGGGGGAAAAAACCCAAAGGGAAAAACCACCCAAAGCCCAAGAGAAGCGUAUUAGGAUUUAAAGGCAGUGUUGAGAAGGGAGGCGAGCAGGGUGAGUUCAUAUGGCAGCGCCGUGGUGGGUUAUGGUGGAUAUCUGGCCAUUUUUGUUGCAAUGCGAUUGAAAGAGUGUGUUUGCUAUAGGGUAGGACUUUUAAAUCUCUUUUUAAAAGCAUGAUUCUCAUGGGAGUGUGUCAGAGGCGGGGAACGGCUCCCUGGAGAGCAGUUUUGUAACUCCUGGUAGCUGAGUUUAUUUUGUUUUAUUAAAGUAUGCCCUGCCGAACAUUUCCUCCUGUUCUCAUGCUUUUGGACUGGAGAAUGCAGAAAGUAAAUUUGCCUCA